AGUGAACGCUGGCGGCGUGCUUAACACAUGCAAGUCGAACGGUAACAGGAACUAGCUUGCUAGUUUGCUGACGAGUGGCGCACGGGUGAGUAAUAUAUAGUUAAUGUACCCCAAAGACUGGGAUAGCCACUGGAAACGGUGAUUAAUACUAGAUACACCUCUUUAAUAUAAGUUAGAGAGGGAAAUGUCUUUCGCUUUGGGAUCAGACUAUAUCCUAUCAGUUAGUUGGUGAGGUAAUGGCUCACCAAGGCAAUGACGGGUAGCGGUUCUGAGAGGAUGAUCCGCCACACUGGUACUGAGACACGGACCAGACUCCUACGGGAGGCAGCAGUGAGGAAUAUUGCACAAUGGGGGGAACCCUGAUGCAGCAACGCCGCGUGGAGGAUGACGCAUUUCGGUGUGUAAACUCCUUUUAUAUGAGAAGAUAAUGACGGUAUUAUAUGAAUAAGCACGGNUAACUCGUGCCAGCAGCCGC
rnacentral:rRNA from 1 species